GAUAGAAUCAAAUUCAUCCUGAACUAAAUGUAUGCAAGGUGCACUUCAAAGUGACUGGGAGAAUGUGUUUGAAGUUUUCAAAGAUGUUUCAAAGUCUUCAAUGGAAUAUAACUGGACUGAAGUUACAAGGAAGAAUUGGAUGGAGCCAGUAGGGUUAACACUGAUACUAACAGGAGAUUACUAGCCAUAAGAAAAUUACAGCUCUUCUGAAAGACAGUGCCUAAAAUAGCAGCAUAUCCUUGGCACCAUCAUAGGAACUGGUUAACUGAUGACCCUGAAGAAACACUUGUUUCCAUUAAUUCUGCUGUCAUAAUUUCGUUAUUUUCGACUCUUCCUCUCAAUUCUUCUGUCCUUCUGAUCCCAAGACAAGAUGGCAGGAAUGUGAGAGAGAACAUAAAGAAAUUACAGUAAGCUGUCGGCCAUAUAAUUGUAUUGUAAACUACUACACUGAGAAGUUAUACCAACAGAAAUUUGGCAAGGUAUUGGCUGCUAGUUGCUAGCUAAACACAGGACACUCACUAGUAUAACAUUAAAUAAAAAGAAAAAAAAAAAGAGAGAGAGAGAAAAAAAAAAUAGGCUCACUAAAAAGCAACAUCUACAUUACAAAGACGCUAACAAAAGAAUUCCCUUAUGAUAUUUAGGUUAAGCUGGUUCAUCUUAGGUUCAUCAGCUCAAUUUUCUUGUUUUAUGUAUACGUGUUACAUUUGCAGUUGAAUAUAUUUUUAAGAUCACAAUGCUACAAACCUUUUUCCAGCAUGUAGUUUCGCCACCAUUACGUUAGACAACACGUGACACAAAGGAGUACUUGCUCGAAUUAGGGCUGAAUAUUCUGCUGAAAGCUGGUGAUGUUAUUAGAUCGUGUACUAUAAUUACUUGAGCACCACAGUUUUUAAAUCCCUAAGAUAUGAUUUCCUAGGUAGAAGGCAGCAAGUAUGCUUUUAAGUUGCCAGACAGACCAAGGGAAUCAUUUUGCUCCGAAGCGUCUGCUGUAUACCCUGAAUCAGAACAAAUCCUUAUUUCACAAAGACCAGAUUUUUAAAGCAUCUCUGCUAAACAGAAGUAAACAGUUUCUGAUUAAACUUUAACUGUUCCAGUGACUCUACCACAAAGAUAGUAACUUUUAUAUAUUAAGGAACAUAUUGACAAGCGUUACCAGGAGGGUAAGGUAAACAUGCCUUUGUCUUCAACAAUUGCUACAGUGCCACAGACCCAAUUACAGACAUAUUGAGGUUAUCUGAACUCUGAGGUUCCAUCUCAUCUCGGAUAUUUUUUUUACAAAGUUUGAAUUGUCUCAACACCACGAAGUCUUGCCCAAAAUAUUUUUUUGAAAUCCAAACUUUUUCAAAAUGCACCUACACAAAACCAAUGUGUAUCGAUAUACAUUCCAAAUGGAGUAUUCUUAUAUUCCAGCACAUUAGAAGCUAACAGAACUUAAAAGGCUUUCAAAUGAAUUUUUGCUGUUGUCAUACC
rnacentral:lncRNA from 1 species